rnacentral:rRNA from 1 species
CCUACGGGUGGCAGCAGUGAGGAAUAUUGGUCAAUGGGCGGGAGCCUGAACCAGCCAAGCCGCGUGAGGGAAGAAGGUACUGAGUAUUGUAAACCUCUUUUGCCAGGGGACAAAGGCGGCCACGGGUGGCCGUAAGAGGGUACCUGGAGUAAAAGCAUCGUCUAACCUCGCGCCAGCAGCCGCGGUAAUACGGGGGAUGCGAGCGUUAUCCGGAUCUAUUGGGGUUAAAGGGUGCGCAGGCGGCGUGUAAAGUCAGCGGUAAAAUGUCGGGGCUCAACCCCGGCCGGCCGUUGAAACUGGCGUGCUCGAGUUGGAGAGAGGUAUGCGGAAUUCGUGGUGUAGCGGUGAAAUGCAUAGAUAUCACGAAGAACCCCGGUUGCGAAGGCGGCAUACCGGCUCCACACUGACGCUGAGGCACGAAAGCGUGGGUAUCGAACAGGAUUAGAUACCCCUGUAGUC